GACGAACGCUGGCGGCGUGCUUAACACAUGCAAGUCGAACGGUGAAGGGAUCAGCUUGCUGGUUCUGGAUGAGUGGCGAACGGGUGAGUAACACGUGAGUAACCUGCCCCCUUCUUCUGGAUAACCGCAUGAAAGUGUGGCUAAUACGGGAUAUUCUGGGUCUGUCGCAUGAUGGGUCUGGGAAAGAUAUUGUUUCGGUGGGGGAUGGGCUCGCGGCCUAUCAGCGUGUUGGUGGGGUGAUGGCCUACCAAGGCGGUGACGGGUAGCCGGCCUGAGGGGUGUAACUGUCACACUGGGACUGCGACACGGCCCAGACUCCUACGGGGGGCCGCAGUGGGGAAUAUUGCACAAUGGGCGCAAGCCUGAUGCAGCGACGCCGCGUGAGGGAUGGAGGCCUUCGGGUUGUAAACCUCUUUCGCCAGUGAAGCAGGCCUGCUCCUUGUGGGUGGGUUGACGGUAGCUGGAUAAGAAGCGCCGGCUAACUACGUG
rnacentral:rRNA from 1 species